CCUACGGGUGGCAGCAGUGAGGAAUAUUGGUCAAUGGGCGAGAGCCUGAACCAGCCAAGUCGCGUGAAGGAUGACGGCCCUACGGGUUGUAAACUUCUUUUGUCAGGGAGCAAUUUAGUCCACGUGUGGUCUUAUCGAGAGUACCUGAAGAAAAAGCAUCGGCUAACUCCGUGCCAGCAGCCGCGUUAUUAGGGAGGAUGCGAGCGUUAUCCGGAUUUAUUGGGUUUAAAGGGUGCGUAGGCGGAAUGUCAAGUCAGCGGUAAAAAUUCGGGGGUCAACCCCGUCGUGCCGUUGAAACUGUGUUUCUUGAGUGCUGGAGAGGCAAUCGGAAUUCCGUGUGUAGCGGUGAAAUGCGUAGAUAUACGGAGGAACACCAGUGGCGAAGGCGGAUUGCUGGACAGUAACUGACGCUGAGGCGCGAAAGCGUGGGGAGCAAACAGGAUUAGAUAACCCAGUAGUC
rnacentral:rRNA from 1 species